rnacentral:rRNA from 1 species
AUCGAACGCUGGCGGCAGGCCUAACACAUGCAAGUCGAGCGGACGAAGCGAGCUUGCUCCUGGAUUCAGCGGCGGACGGGUGAGUCAUGCCUAGGAAUCUGCCUGGAAGUGGGGGAUCACGUCCGGAAACGGGCGCUAAUCCCGCAUGCGUCCUGAGGGCGCCAGUGGGGGAUCUUCCGACCUCACGCUAUCAGAUGAGCCUUAGUCGGAUUACCUAGUUGGUGGGGUAAAGGCCUUCCAAGGCGACGAUCCGUACCUGGUCUGAGAGGAUGAUCAGUCAGACGGGAACUGAGACACGGUACAGACUCCGACGGGAGGAAGCAGUGGGGAAUAUUGGACGAUGGGCGAGAGCCUGAUCUAGCCAAGCCGCGGGUGUGAAGAAGGUCUUCGGAUGGGAGAGCACUGUAAGUUGGGAGGAAGGACAGUAAUUUAAUACCGGGCGGUAUUGACGUUACCAACAGAAGAAGCACCGGCUAACUUCGUG